CGAGAUAGAGGAAAAAGAAGCAGAAGCACGACGAGAACGCUACAACAACAACCAAAACUACCACAACAAUAAUAACAACAACAACAACCACGCCGAUGGCACUUCGCUGGAUGCUGCACUCACGGAAGGUCGCGGCCAGGGC
rnacentral:ribozyme from 1 species